rnacentral:rRNA from 1 species
CACGUAGGGUGCGAGCGUUGUCCGGAAUUAUUGGGCGUAAAGAGCUCGUAGGCGGUGUGUCGCGUCGGCCGUGAAAACCUGCAGCUUAACUGUGGGCGUGCGGUCGAUACGGGCAUCACUGGAGUUCGGCAGGGGAGACUGGAAUUCCUGGUGUAGCGGUGAAAUGCGCAGAUAUCGGGAAGAACACCCGUGGCGAAGGCGGUUCUCUGGGACGGUACUGACGCUGAGACGCGAAAGCGUGGGGAGCGAACAGG